UGCAACAGUACCGCCACCCUCAACAGCCUACCAAACGCGCUCGGUCAACGGGUCAUCCGAAGCGCCUCUUCACGUCGUCAUGCUGGAGGAGCUCACCAGCCUGUUGGCGUGUUGCUGUCAGUGCUAGGCAUGGGUUGCCAGCGACAGCAGGUACUACAUCCAUCGAUCUGAACCUCUCUCUCUCCAACAUAUCAUAGUAUUGAAAAACCAAGGGCCGUACUGUACUCUGCAUAACGUCCCUUUGUUGGCAAACAGAGAAAAAAUGUCUCCGAAGCAGCAACAACCUAAACGAUGUGGUGGCAUGUCCGUACUCCGUAGUACAUACCAUGUCCCGUUCUCCAGCUUUUCGUAAACUUUUGUCUCACCUCAUCUCAUGCAAACGUGCAAUCGCCAUUCCAACGGCCAUGCCCAAUCCGAAACCUGCAUUCAUAAUAGACCUGUGCGAGUAAGCUGAGGAGACGGGGUUUUGGAGGAGACCAAAUUUUGCUGCGUGUUAUUUCGAAAGUCGAUAGCAAACUGCAUUUUUUGGUCAGUAAAUAAUGUGUCUCCGGGGUGUUGGUUGCGCCUCACCACCACACAACAGAUACCCAUGAGGAAAAAUGGAUAUAAGUGCAGAUAAUAUGCUAAUGUCAAGGAAUUUCAAUCUUAAGAAAUCUUUUAGCUAUUUACUUCAACAAAGUCCAUCGAAAAUGACUAUUACAGAUUAUAUAUAAUUCACUUUUGUUAGAA
rnacentral:sRNA from 1 species